rnacentral:rRNA from 1 species
GAUGAACGCGGCGGCGUGCCUAAUACAUGCAAGUCGAGCGAGAAGCUUGGAAAUGACGCUUCGGUUGAUUUUUCAAGCGGACAGCGGCGGACGGGUGAGUAACGCGUAGGCAACCUGCCCCUGACAGAGGGAUAGCCAUUGGAAACGAUGAUUAAAACCUCAUAAUACCGUAGUAGCACAUGCUACAUCGGUCAAAGAUUUAUCGGUCAGGGAUGGGCCUGCGUCUGAUUAACUGGUUGGUGAGGUAACGGCUCACCAAGGUGACGAUCAGUAGCCGACCUGAGAGGGUGAUCGGCCACAUUGGAACUGAGACACGGUCCAAACUUCUACGGAAGGCAGCAGUAGGGAAUCUUGCACAAUGGGCGAAAGCCCUGAUGCAGCAAACGCCGCGUGAAGGAAGAAGGCCUUUCGGGUUGU